UCAAGUGCAAGAAGUGCACAGAGAUCGUGGACCAGUUUGUGUGCAAGUAGUGGGUGCCGCCCAGCACUCAGCCCCGCUCCCAGGACCCGCUUAUUUAUAGAAAGUACAGUGAUUCUGGUUUUUGGUUUUUAGAAAUAUUUUUUAUUUUUCCCCAAGAAUUGCAACCGGAACCAUUUUUUUUCCUGUUACCAUCUAAGAACUCUGUGGUUUAUUAUUAAUAUUAUAAUUAUUAUUUGGCAAUAAUGGGGGUGGGAACCAAGAAAAAUAUUUAUUUUGUGGAUCUUUGAAAAGGUCUUGGGAAAAAAAACCCAAAACAAACCUCCCUUCCCCAGCGCGGCUGCUAGCUUGCUUUCUGCAUUUUCAAAAUGAUAAUUUAAAAUGGAAGGACAAGAAUGUCAUAUUCUCAAGAAAAAAGGUAUAUCACAUGUCUCAUUCUCCUCAAAUAUUCCAUUUGCAGACAGACUGUCAUAUUCUAAUAGCUCAUGAAAUUUGGGCAGCAGGGAGGAAAGUCCCCAG
rnacentral:sRNA from 1 species